CCUACGGGAGGCAGCAGUGGGGAAUAUUGGACAAUGGGCGAAAGCCUGAUCCAGCAAUGCCGCGUGAGUGAUGAAGGCCUUAGGGUCGUAAAGCUCUUUUACCAGGGAUGAUAAUGACAGUACCUGGAGAAUAAGCUCCGGCUAACUCCGUGCCAGCAGCCGCGGUAAUACGGAGGGAGCUAGCGUUGUUCGGAAUUACUGGGCGUAAAGCGUGCGUAGGCGGUUAUUCAAGUCAGAGGUGAAAGCCCGGGGCUCAACCCCGGAACGGCCUUUGAAACUAGAUAACUAGAAUCUUGGAGAGGUCAGUGGAAUUCCGAGUGUAGAGGUGAAAUUCGUAGAUAUUCGGAAGAACACCAGUGGCGAAGGCGACUGACUGGACAAGUAUUGACGCUGAGGUACGAAAGCGUGGGGAGCAAACAGGAUUAGAUACCCUGGUAGUCCACGCCGUAAACGAUGAUAACUAGCUGUCCGGACACUUGGUGUUUGGGUGGCGCAGCUACGACAUUAAGUUAUACCGUCCGUCGGGUAGGUACGGUCGCGAAGAAUUAAACUAACUAAUAGAAGUUAGUACGGCGUGAGACGUGCCGACGGACGACGACGACGGGAGGUAGG
rnacentral:rRNA from 1 species